UGUUGUACCAAUUAUAAGAUAAAGGACCCACCCCGAGGCGAGCCACUCCCUUCGUUCAUAAGGAUAGGUGGUUUCGAUAUUUCAUUCAAACAUUUCAGCAACGGGCUCAAAAAGCGGGCUCAUGUGAACAAUGAGGUGAUGUCACUCUAUAUUGAAAGUUUCAACAUUGAGCACAUGUACAGUUCAAGCAAGCCAAGGAAGUUUGCAUUCUCACCACAUGUUGCUUCAAAACUCUGUGUGGACCCAAGUUCAUUCAAUACAAAUUCCUGCACGAAAGAUUUGAAAAGGGCCUGUGAGAAGAACGACAUUGCCAAAGCUGACCAAUUGUUCUUCACCAUUGUGAAACAAGACCAUUG